GGAAGGUUCUGCACCACAAGGGGACAGUGAGGAGCCUGGGGAGGGCCUGGGGGGACGGCCGCACCAGCUCCCCCACCCAGGGAGGCCCAGAGAGCCCAGGCCCAGAGCAGGAGUGAGACUGGCCCAGUCAGCAGAGGAAGGGGCGGGCAGCACAGGGGCCCCAAGGUGUGACGGAGCGUCAACGUCCGCAGCAGUCGGGGACAGCGUCUCCAAACUUGAGGGGGCAGAGUGAACCAGGCGGACUUUCCCCGUCCACGCGUGACCACGCGGCCCGCGUGACCACGCCCCGUGCACCCCCACGGGAGGGAAGGUGCACACCCGUGUGCGGGAUGUCAGGAUGCACCGGUGACAUGAGGGCCUGAAGGGACAGUGGGAACCGGCCUUCGGGUCACCUCACUCCAGUCAGAACGGCCAUGGGGACAGAAGGAAUGGCGAAGAAUGUUGGCGAGGAUGGGGGUGGGGGACGGCCCCUGUACCUUGUUGGUGGGCCACGCGCUCUGGAAAGCACCCAGGGAUCGGACCCCCGUGACCCGUCCCACUUCUGAGUCCUGAUCCAAAAGGUGGAGAUCAGCACCGGACGGCGGAACAGCCACGGCAGGAUGUCACAGCCGCACACCUCACAGUGGACAGGACGUGACCCCGGCAGGACGCCAGCACCAACCGAAGAAUGGACAAACUUUGGGUUCUGGAACUGCUCCGUGUAUUUGUGGAAGACUACCUACACCUGCUGUGGUGGAGAGUCACAUCCUGAGCUUAUGAGCUGCUGAGAGUAUUGGUUGAGGCAUGGGACAGCGAGUGGCAGAUGACCCCAUCCGCCUGCAUGGAGGACGAAGUGAGGAGAGCAGACUCCAGGGGUCUGCAGAAGGGAGCCAGGGCACAGGGAAGGCAGGCGGAGCCAUUCUCUGCACCUGCGGCCACCACUGCUCCUUCUCUACCAGAUCUGACAGACACGUCUGCUUUGGCCUCUGACCCCCCGCCAGUGUCUCCCGGCCUUGGAUGCCACAGUCCUGGAUCUGACCCUAGGAACUGCCACUCUCGAGCUGUGUGACCUGGCCUACCUGACGGAGCCUCGGUUGUGAAACGGGGAUAACUGCAGCCCGCGUCACAGAGUUGGGGGAGAGGAAAAUGGAAGGGCCCCCCAUGCCCCUUCGACUCCUCGGCUGCCGUAACGAGGGCCAAGGACUGGAAAACCCCAUGGCCAGGCCCCUCCCGGCUCCCCACCUCUGUGCCGGCCUCUGUUGCCCUGAGCAGCCUGGAGAGGAGCCUGGUGGGGGCCUCCCGAGGGAUGGCCGUGGCACGGGAAGGAGGGCGGUCCCAGGCCGGCCCUGCUACCUAGGCGAGGGGACGUUGCUGCUGAGAGUCUGGUCACUGGUUUAAUAAGAGAUGCUGAGCUUUGUGCGGAGGGUGCCGUCCAAGCCCCGGGGACACCUGGGGCCACCGACCGCAGCCACCUCAUGGGUAUUGGCGCUUUGCUCCAGACUCAGUGGCCAUCAGGUCUGGCCCACAGAGGUGCCUCGAGAGGCUGCCACGGCACUUCCCACGGCACUUCCCACGGCCUGGCGGGUCCAGAGCAGAGCCUCCUCCCCCUGCCCAGCUGAGGGCUUCCACCCUCCACCUGGACGCUCCCCAGGCCUGGCUCCUCUGUCCAGCCGCCAGCUCUGCUGCUCUGGUGCCUCCUGCGGCCACGGCACCCAGCGCCACACUGCGCCACACUGUGCCACACUGUGCCACGCAGUGCCACACAGCGCCACGCUCCGCCACACUGUUAUGGCAGGCAGUCUGACAGCCGAGAUGACACCAAGUGGCAGCCGGCGGCAUACACAGUGGGGACGUGGAGGGCGGUGGGGUGACUCUCACAGCAGCACACACGUGGGCUGACUAGAACACUGAGCACGUGAAACCAAAAAAUUGCUCGUUUCUGGAAUUUUCCAUCUCGUGUUUGAACCAGGGUUGACUGCAGACCAUGGAAACCGUGUGCGGCGACACCGUGGAUGGGAGGUGACGGUGAAGGGGGUGGGACAAGGAAGGACACUGGGGGAAUCUGAGGCCACCUCCCCAGCGCCCACACAUCCCCAGGAAUGGGGUCCUGGGCAGAGUGACUGUGGACCAUGGCUGUGUGAUCCCGCCAGAAGGGGCUCUCCGUCAGGUACCACCGGAAAUCACCCAGUAGGGAAUCCAUGCUGAGGUGAGUCAGGGGACGCCGCGCAGCAGGCCAGGCCUUCUCACAGCUGGGGGGCAGCAGGGCUGCCACGCAGGGUCCCUUCCCGGUUUAGAAUCCGGUGUCAGCCGCAGCCAAAGGCUCUUUUUGGCUCCGUUUCUUGUCUCUGUGUACACCCGUGUGUCUCUGUGCCCAUCAGAGUUGGUAGCUGCAGCAUCUGUUUUUGCUGUUGGGAUAUCCCGGGCUGUUUGGUUCAGUUAUGGGCACAUCCAUCAUUUCCCACCACAAAUGCAGAUAGAUGGCUGCUCCGUGAAUCUCCCCGUUUCCUAAGACACUGUUUCCAUCACACGACUCUCUAAGUUUGGAAUCACUUCAAAAACAAACACGUCCAUCUUCAAAAGAAGAAGAAGAAGAGCAGGAGGGGGGCCUCUGUGGUCACCUCGCUGGGCAGCGGCUCGCCCCUGGGCACGUCUGACGGGCGCUCCUGCUUCUCCGCACACGGGAUCCCCUCACGGGCCUGUUCUGAGCGCCGAGCGGCACGCGGCUGUGGGUGGACGGCUUUCACCCAGCGGCAGCACGGCAGGAUCCCACCGAGGGCCAGAGGGCCUGGUGCGGGCACUGGGGUGGCAGCCCUGGGGCAGCAGGGCUCUGUCGGUCAUUGACCCUCUGACAGGGCUACCGUGGUGGACCGAAAUGCUGCUCUGUGACGACCCACGGCAAAUCUGUCGUGGGCACGUCUGAAUCCAGGCCAAGAGGACAAGCAGGUGGACCGAGCCACCAGGCCCGCUUUUUCUGAAGUCCAGCUGACCCCACCCAGGGUUAGAGGACUGUGGCCGAGGAGCCCGACUGGGGGAGGCCCUGGUGCGGGGGAUGCGCCCACCUGCCACAAGCCGACCUUCACAUUCAGAGAAGGUCUCCAAGGUGACCCCUUUGAGCCGCUCCAAUAUCCACCCUGGGUCACCCCUGGCCUGGGAGCUGCUGGACCUGGCCUGGCCCGGCUCCCUGCCUAACAAGGUGGGUCUGAUGAGCUUUCUGACUGUACCAGUGAGAUCUGACCAGGAAUCUGAGAGCGGAGACCUCCCAGGACCUCCACCUUGUGCAUCUCUAAGUCGCGAGGGAGGAUCCAGUGGGUCCCAGGCAGUGGCUUUCAGUGCCCACUCGCUCCCACACCGGAUUCCAGAACAUUCCAUUCCCUGAGGUUCUCGCUGUCGGUUUUCAUCCGCCUCCACUUCCUGGUCCAGCAGGAGUCUCCAUGGUGACCGAUGGAGUUUUCCUGUGUUGCUAAGGAACAAGAGAGCCCUUUGGAAGGACCAGGAUGGAGCCAGGCGAGGACAGGCAGGCCAGGGUUCAGAGCCCCCGUGUCCACACCUCUGGUCCGUGCCCACCUCUCCACCUUGCCUCCGAGGGGUCUCUGCAGAAUGGCACACAAGCCGGCUCUGAGCCUCCAGAGUCGGCAGAGCCCACGUUUCCCGUCAGCAUCUGGCCACGCUCACCACUCACUCCACAGCACUCACUGACUGCGGCCGGUCAGCGGGCCAGACCCAGAGAAGAGUCUCCAGGAGGUGCUGGGGAGAGGGUGCUGGGUGGUCAGGUCUGAUCCUGUGACCAGGCCACAGCAGCCCCCGCCACUCCCCCCCUCAAGUGAGUUUCUGUGAAGGUGUGUGCCCUGAGUGGGUCUCCCAGGUGUGUCCCCCUGUCCAGGCCCCUCUGUGGCACCCACCAGGGUGCACGUGUCCCAUGUAAAUCGCACACUGAUGGCCACCCAUCAUUUUUAGAACACGUCCUCGGGCAGAGUCCAGCUGCAGCCUUCGGGGCCCUGUGGACUCGAAGGAGCCACGAGUCUCGCGCAGCCUGGUGAACUGUCCUGCGGCCUCCCUGGACCGUGUGCCCGGAGGCCAGAGCAGGAUGUUCAAGAGAUGGCAACUGCAGUCGAGUGCCCCAGCGUGACGCUUCCGUCAAUGCCAGCCCUGUGCGUGACGGUGGCCCUGCAGGACGAGGCUGCCGAGACCCCUGCAGCUGCCUCUGUUUGCACAGCUCACCAUGCGAAGCCUGCGUGGCUCACCGUGCGAAUCCUGCAGGGAACACCGUGCGAAUCCUGCAGGGCUCACCGUGCGAAGCCCGUGUGGCUCACCGUGCGAGGCCCGCACAAGAAGGAAAGCGGGCAGCCCACGUGGCUCGGGGCUGACAGCCCUGCAGAGGGAGAAGGGAAGACAUGACCUUGGGGAGACCAGGGCUUCAGGAGGAGGGGCACGCCCUGUCCCAGCUCAGGUGGCGUCUGGCCUGAGCCCGGGCGGAAGCAGGCCGUGAGGUAUCUCCAGAGGACAGAGGGCCCCGGGGAGGCCGGGUGGAAGGGCAGCUGGGGGAGGGCUGAUGGGUGAGUAGGUAGCUGAGAGGGCAGGUGGGUGGUGGUGGGUGGGUCGGUGGACGUGCGUCCAGAAGCUGACCACAGAGAUCUCUCCCACCCCAACAAGAGAGGUCCGGGUGCAGGUGGAGCCGAGCUGUGCGCCCUGUGACACCCCGAGGCAUGCACAGCCCCUUCCCCAGCACGUGUUAAGUCCCCACCGUUUGCUGGACCCUGAUUGUUGGUCCACACAGAAUCUUUAUCUGGCCCCUCCUGGGCCCCUCCAGCCGCAGUCUCCGUGGCAACAGCCGGGCCCAGCAGGCACCCCACACCAGCAAGGCUCCUAAUGGAGAAGGCCGGCCGUCGCCCUCCAGCCAGGGUCCCUGGGCGUGGGAGGACCCUCAGAGACCCCAGGCGCUGGCCGGACGGUGGGGUUCACGUCAAUCUGUGGUGCUCACUAGGGUGCAGAGCACGCUGCCCGUGGGGGUCAGGGCAGGGGUCCUGCAGGCGCCACCAGCCUACUGCCAGCCCCUUGUGAGUCCCUCGUGUUGCCAGCCGACAGGGGCCAGGCCACCAGACCCUGCCCUGGGUGGACAGGAGGAGCAGGAAGUAAGCACACUCCUCAGCGCCACCAGGCCUGGGGCAGGCAGGCCUCCGCUGACCCUGGACCCUCACCCACGCCCUCAGUGUGUGGGUGGGGGGCUGCGCUGCACACAGGGCUCGGGAGGGGGCGAGGCCCUGAGAGAGGUCCGGUCCUGGGGGAGGAGGAGGGCAGGGUCAGAGGGCAAAGCUCGUCGGGGCACAAUUAGGAUGGGGUCUGGGGCGGGGAGCUGUUUUCCAUCAAGUGCCGAGAGCCCCUCUGAAGUGACCUUUGGGCAGCUCUGAAACAAGAGCAGGAGCCGCGGUCCCGCCAAGGUGGUCCGACUCCAUGAUGGGCCCUUCCCCAAAAGGCCAAGUGACAGAGACAGAAACCAGAUCCGGGCGGCCGAGUGUGGGUGGCGUGGCAUGUUUACUUGUCCAGGAGCGUGUGGGACGUUGGGAAGGUGACGGGGAGUUAAUUGUGAUGGCGGUUACAUGAUUGUAUGCAUUUGUCAAAACCAAUAGACUCGUAGAGCAGAAAAGGUGACCUCGACCGCGAGCCACCCCGAGUGACCGGCUUUCUGAAUGUCUGUCAAUGUGGAGGGUCUCUGCAAAGGAAAAGGGGCUCCGCGCCUCGCAGACCGUGGGGCUCAGGCCCUGGGCUUCUCGCCCUGGGUCCUGCCACCUCCCUGUCGAGCAUCCACCAUGAGCCCUACUGCGCGCCUUCCUCUCGUCUCCACCAGAGCAGAACGCACUCAGACCACAGGGUGCUGGUGGGCAGAGGGCGAAGGGAGCCGGCCCUGGGACAGGCACUGGAGAGGGGAGGAUGGGAGGGACAGCCCCUGCGCAUCCCGCACCCACGGGCUCACCUCCAGAGGGAGAGAGACGAGCAGACCCAGUCCAGGGUGGGCUGUGACAGUGGCCCUGAAGGAUGGUGACGAAGGCAGAGUGGGAGACACCCAAGGGAGAGGGCUACUUGAGGUGACCAAGGAGGACCAGCCCUGACGGUGGAGCUGGAGCAGAGGCUCAAGGAAGGAGGAGUCCAGAGAAUCUCAGGAAGAGCCUCUCGGGCAGGUGGAGUAGAGGACAAGGCCCCGAGUAGGACUGUCCCUGCACUGCUUGAAGGACAACGGAGGUCAGUGAGCUGGAGGGAAGGGGGAGAAAGGAGGCCGGGAGGGAAGGGCGUCCAGGUGCAGAGAGGCUCAGCAACCGAGACUGGACAGGACAAUGGGGAGCUCAGAGGACACCUGAGACCCUUUCCUGUCUCAGAGAGAUGGGUGGACGGACGGACGGAUGGCUGGAUGGCUGGACAGACAGAUGAACAGACGGAUGGAUGGACGGAUGGACGGAUGGAUGGAUGGAUAGACAGAUGAUGGGUGGCUGGCUGGAGAGAUGGACGGACUGACCAACUGAUGAAUGUGCAGAGGGGAUGGGUAGUUGGGUGGGCGCUUUGAGCGGGUGAAAGGACAGAUGGACGCCUGCGGAGUCCCUCAUCUCUGCUUUCUCCCCAUGCUCCUCCUCAAGAAACCUCAACCCUAUUCCCGCCUCCAAAACCCACCUGCAUUUGGAGGAUUCCCAAAUCCCCGACUGCAGCCCGGACUUGCAGCGCCAGGAGCGUUUACCCAGCUGUACACUGGACCUUUCAGGUGGUUUUCAAACUCAGCAAACUCAAAGUUGAUCCCGUCAGCCACAAAAAUCCUGUAGCCACCCGCCAGUGAGGCUCCGUGUCCUCGCGGGACAGUGGACGGCCCUUGCUCCUAAGUCUGUCUCCUCCAUCUCCACGGCCACCACUUGGGCUCCACCAGGGUCAUUGUUUUUGUUUUGUUUUUUUUCUGGACAAUUUUUCUCAAAAGUAAGUGUUGUAUGGAAGAAAAACCUAAAGUGACUGUUUCUUCCCUCACCUGUAAGUCUGCGAUUCGAGCCUGCAAUGGUGGGGUGUGUAUCGCUAAGUAAAUACAGAGUAAAGAGAGGGGUAUGGGGGCAAGGGGUCCCCAAACGCUUUGCUGGUAGAGUGCACAGUGACGGUGGCCUCCCAACCCCACUGUCCCUUCCCCAGCCCGUCGGUGGCUCCGUGGCUGCAGUUUCAGGGUUCCCUUCCACGUGUUGACGUCCCCGACAGAGCAGGCCCCAGCAUGUUGCAGCCACAGACAUCACAUCUCCAGGCGGGGGGGCUUGGGGGCCUGUAGAAGGCCACUUGGCCCUGGCCCACUGCCACGGUCGGCCAGGAGUGCGGGGAGCCGGCCCCUCUGAGCAGCCGGUGGUGCUGGGCUGGGCUCUGACUCCCCUGCUCCUCCGUGAGACGGUGCUGUGCUCGCUGCAGGUUCUGUUCUCCACGGGGAACCGUGAGCCCUGUGCCAUCGUGACUGGUGUGACUCACGGCCACUGCUCUUCCACUGCUCCCGUCUGUGCCCCCGCCUGCUGGCCUGCCCGGAUAUGGCCACCCUUAAACUCCUGGAGCUCGCCCUUGGUUUCUAGGUCUGCCCUGGAGGAGCCAAACGAGACACGUGUCCUUUGAUGUGAAAGGCUUCCCCGGCCCAAAGUCCCAUCAGACACUUGUCACCACGUCCCUUCAUGCCCUCACGCCAGGAGCAGACCUGGGUACCCAGCUUGCUCAGAGCGGCCAAUGGUGG